rnacentral:tRNA from 1 species
GGAAAUGUGAUGUUCAAGAAAAAGCUGCUAACUUUUCCCUUUAGCGGUUAAAUUCCGUUUACAUUUCUA